CCUACGGGUGGCAGCAGUGGGGAAUAUUGGGCAAUGGACGCAAGUCUGACCCAGCAACGCCGCGUGAAGGAAGAAGGCUUUCGGGUUGUAAACUUCUUUUAAGGGGGAAGAGCAGAAGACGGUACCCCUUGAAUAAGCCACGGCUAACUACGUGCCAGCAGCCGCGGUAAUACGUAGGUGGCAAGCGUUAUCCGGAAUGACUGGGCGUAAAGGGUGCGUAGGUGGUUUAGUAAGUUGGCGGUGUAAUUCCGGGGCUCAACCUCGGCGCUACCGCCAAAACUAUUAGACUAGAGUGCAGGAGGGGUAAGUGGAAUUCCUAGUGUAGCGGUGGAAUGCGUAGAUAUUAGGAGGAACAUCAGGGGCGAAGGCGACUUACUGGACUGUAACUGACACUGAGGCACGAAAGCGUGGGGAGCAAACAGGAUUAGAUACCCCGGUAGUC
rnacentral:rRNA from 1 species